AUUGCCCUGCUGUGCACGUGAUGCCGCACGACCGGUUUUGAGCCAACACCUAUCACGAGGGUUCCGACUCAUCCUUGCGAAACGCGAUAGGCUGCGGCCAAGGCGGAUCCAAGGUGGAGGGACCCAAAUCCUGCGAGAGCAGGUUCAAAACUACGCAGCACACGGCACGGCGGGGUCUUU
rfam:Thermanaerothrix daxensis strain GNS-1 contig_1, whole genome shotgun sequence.